GCCAAGGACUCUAGCAGCAGACCCUCCCUCCCAGACCCUCCCUCCUCCUGGACAGCAGGAGGUUUUGAAGCUGCAUUCUUAGUGAGCUGUCCAGGAGGUGGGAGGGUCUGGGAGGGAGGGUCUGCUGCUUAUUGGCUGG